rnacentral:sRNA from 1 species
GCGGCGAGGACGGCGGCGAGGACACGGCUGCAGUCCUGGUCAGACAGCCGCCGGCCGGUAGCGACGCGAUGGCGUCCGGCGCCCCGCCCCGCCUCGCCUCGCCUCGCGCAGUCCAGCGCCGCCCAGCGCCCGCCCCUCAGGGGACCGCACGGGCCGGGGGAUGCACGCUGUGGAGGCGCUGGAUCGCCGAAGGUCUGGUUGAGAACUUGAACCCACCCGCCUGGAGCGGAUGCCUAAGAAAAUGCAGGCCCGCUGAAGCCUCCCCGCCGGGCCCUGGGCCCUGAAAGCCUCCAGCAGUUUCCCCUGACCCCGCGGCUGCUCUGCGCGUUUUCCGAUUUCUUGCUGGUUGAAUACCUCCCUCUCCACUCCCAACUUCAGGAGACGGGGUUUCAC